GAUGAACGCUGGCGGCGUGCCUCAAACAUGCAAGUCGAGCGGGGCUAUGUAAUAUCGCAAGGUAGAACAUAGCCUAGCGGCGAACGGGUGAGUAACACGUGGGUAACCUGCCUGGAAGACAGGGAUAACGAUUCGAAAGGGUCGCUAAUACCUGAUAAUAUCCUUUCAUCGCAUGGUGAUAGGAAGAAAGGGGAAACCCGCUUUCAGAUGGGCCCGCGUCCCAUCAGCUAGUUGGUAAGGUAAAGGCUUACCAAGGCGACGACGGGUAGCCGGUCUGAGAGGAUGUACGGCCACACUGGGACUGAGAUACGGCCCAGACUCCUACGGGAGGCAGCAGUUGGGAAUCUUAGGCAAUGGACGAAAGUCUGACCUAGCGACGCCGCGUGAGGGAAGAAGGCCUUCGGGUUGUAAACCUCUGUCAUGGGGGAAGAAGUAAGUGACGGUACCCAAGAGGAAGCCCCUGCUAACUACGUG
rnacentral:rRNA from 1 species